GGGGCCGUAGCUCAGUCGGGAGAGCGCGUCGUUCGCAAUGACGAGGUCAGGGGUUCGAUCCCCCUCGGCUCCACCA
rnacentral:tRNA from 1 species